UACGAAGGGGGCUAGCGUUGCUCAGAAUCACUGGGCGUAAAGCGCACGUAGGCGGACUCUUAAGUCGGUGGUGAAAUCCUGGAGCUCAACUCCAGAACUGCCUUCGAUACUGGGAGUCUUGAGUCCGGGAGAGGUGAGUGGAACUGCGAGUGUAGAGGUGAAAUUCGUAGAUAUUCGCAAGAACACCAGUGGCGAAGGCGGCUCACUGGCCCGGUACUGACGCUGAGGUGCGAAAGCGUGGGGAGCAACAGGG
rnacentral:rRNA from 1 species